GGGGAAAAAUUUAUUGCUAUUAGAUGAGCCUAUAUUAGAUUAGCUAGUUGGUGGAGUAAUAGCCUACCAAGGCAAUGAUCUAUAGCUGAUCUGAGAGGAUGAUCAGCCACACUGGAACUGAGAUACGGUCCAGACUCCUACGGGAGGCAGCAGUGGGGAAUAUUGGACAAUGGGCGAAAGCCUGAUCCAGCCAUGCCGCAUGAGUGAAGAAGGCCUUUGGGUUGUAAAGCUCUUUUAGUGAGGAAGAUAAUGACGGUACUCACAGAAGAAGUCCUGGCUAACUCCGUGCCAGCAGCCGCGGUAAUACGGAGAGGGCUAGCGUUAUUCGGAAUUAUUGGGCGUAAAGGGCGCGUAGGCUGGUUAGUAAGUUAAAAGUGAAAUCCCGAGGCUUAACCUUGGAACUGCUUUUAAAACUGCUAACCUAGAGAUUGAAAGAGGAUAGAGGAAUUCCUAGUGUAGAGGUGAAAUUCGUAAAUAUUAGGAGGAACACCAGUGGCGAAGGCGUCUAUCUGGUUCAAAUCUGACGCUGAGGCGCGAAGGCGUGGGGAGCAAACAGGAUUAGAUACCCUGGUAGUCCACGCUGUAAACGAUGAAUGUUAAAUAUGGGAAGUUUACUUUCUGUAUUACAGCUAACGCGUUAAACAUUCCGCCUGGGGACUACGGUCGCAAGAUUAAAACUCAAAGGAAUUGACG
rnacentral:rRNA from 1 species